GAUACCAUGUUGAAAUUUAGAAUUAUAGAAAAGAUUGGACAAAAUAAUAAGUGAAAGUUCUACGUGGUUCCGCUAUUGAGAGUAUAUGUCCACGAAUACAAAACCUGAAAAGGGCUACAUUUCAUUCACUUCUGUUUUAAUAUAAUACAUGAGACCCCAUAUUCAUAAUGGAAGAUACAAACAUUAUAUGACAUCCUAUCAAUAAACCUAUAUAAGCUUUAAUCAAGCCAUUGAUUU
rnacentral:misc_RNA from 1 species